rnacentral:sRNA from 1 species
GUUUGCACUUGUCGGGGAAGGGUGAGAACCUUCGAUUAAGGUUCAACUCGAGCGAAAGCGAGAGAACGUUGCCAACGGCAACGGCCCGUAGGUUGAGGAGCGAAGCGACGAAUAAUCCUUCCCCCACCACCA